UGAAAGGUCCUAUGUGUGGGGCAC
rnacentral:miRNA from 1 species